rnacentral:ncRNA from 2 species
UAAUGAGGUAGAGGCGCGAUUGCCAUCAGUAUCUUUUCUAAGGAUGACAACAAUGAGGAAAAGAAAAAGGGGCCAUCGCCGAAGUGGAAGUAGAAGUCACGCUAUUUUUGCUGGAUCUGUAUUGAAGAAGUGCAGAGCUGUCAUAAUUUGUAGCGGCAAGUUAUGGAGGACUACCAUUAUG